GUGUAUGUGUGUAGGAGGAAGGGAAUGGUGUAUGCAUGUGAUAGGAGGGAGUGUAGAAGAGAGAGGGGAAGGUGUAUUUGUGUAAGGAGGGAAGUGUAAGAGAGAUAUGGUGUGUGUGUGUGUGUGUGUGUGUGUGUUGAUGAAUAAAGGAAUAGACAUGGAGGAAAAAAAUAGAAGGAAUGUGAUAAAGAGGGGAAAGAAUAUUAAGCAAUAAUAAGAAGGAAGUGGAAGGCAAGGAGAGAUGAAGAAGAUCCAAAAAUCAAAAGAAAAUAUGAAAAAGAGAGAAAUAGGAAAUAAGAAAUUAAUAAGUGGAAAAGAAAAAGAAAGAAAAAUUAUCAAAACAAACCAGAAAUAAAAGAAAAUGCAGGAGAAUAAGACCAAAAAAAAGAAUAAAAGGAUAGACGAAAAAAUUAAAAGAAAAAUUAAAAGAAAACAAAGAAGAAAAAAAAAAUCCAGUGUGAAGAAUGUUGAAGAGAGGGAAAAAAGAAACACAAUCAUUAGCAACAUUCAUUAAGACACUAAGCAAGCACGUGUGUGUGUGUGUGUUGAUGCAGUGUUGCCAGCUCAGAGUUGUUGGGAGGAGUUAUCGACACGCCCGCCAACUGCAGGACUCCGAACUCUAGCCUAGAAGUGUGUCAUCAUGUUGGCAACACUGACGCUAUGCUUGGUAACUAUCCAUAUGUCUGUCUCACCCAAUAUGACUUUCAAGAAUGACACCAAAUAUAACAGUAAUAAUAAGAUAAUGAGAUCAUAAAAAAUGUCCCUCUACCUCUCAGUCACCGAGCUAAUAGCCCUUUGAAUAUAUGACUAAAGAAUAACACUGAAUAAAGGUAAAGAAUAACAGUAAUAAGACAAAAUAAAGUUUCUCUACCUCUCUAUCACCCUACCAAUAAGCCUCUAUUAAUAUGACUCAAGAAUAACAGCAAUACAGAUAAUGAACAAUAGUUAAAUAUAUAUAAAAAUGUCUGUCUACCUGCCUCUCCCCUUAUAUAUAUACCGUAAAAAGUCUGAGUAUCCAGCACCCAAUAGUUUGAAAAUCCUGACGGUUCGGAAUUUUCAGCCAAGGGUCAAAUUUAGGUUUUAGGUUUAAGAAUAACAGUCUGGUAAAAUUUAAAUAUACUGAAAAAUGGACUAAAGCAUUGCACUGAACUAUCAAAUGUUCAGCCAUGGGUCAAAAUUAGGUUUUAGAGUAACAAAGAAAAGUCGGGGAAAAUUUAAAAUACUGAAUAAUGGACAAAAGCUGAGAAGUGAACUAUCAAAUACGUAUGCUAUAAGCCCCUUGAGUCAAUAAAGGAAUACGGCGAACACUUCUGGUAACCUGGCAGGCCCGUGACUCCAUGCAUUUCAGAUUAUAGGACUUGAAUAGUAAAUGAAAACCCUUUGAAAAUAAAACCCAUGAGAAUAACACCAAUACAGGUAACAAUAAAUAAAUAAAUA